rnacentral:rRNA from 1 species
CUCGCCCGGGAACUACGAGCAUAAGCUUAAAACCCAAAGGACUUGGCGGUGCUUUAGACCCCCCUAGAGGAGCCUGUUCUAGAACCGAUAACCCCCGUUCAACCUCACCCUCCCUUGUUUUCCCCGCCUAUAUACCGCCGUCGUCAGCUUACCCUGUGAAGGGUACAUAGUAAGCAGAAUUGGCACACCCCAAAACGUCAGGUCGAGGUGUAGCGCAUGAGAGGGGAAGAAAUGGGCUACAUUUGCUGACACAGCACAUACGAAUAAUGCAUUGAAACCAUGCAUCUGAAGGAGGAUUUAGCAGUAAGAAGGAGAAUAGAGAGUUCCCCUGAAACUGGCCCUGAAGCGCGCACACACCGCCCGUCACUCUCCCCGAAACCAAAACAAGCCAUAAAUAAACCGCAAUAAACAUGAAGGGGAGGCAAGUCGUAACAUGGUAAGUGUACCGGAAGGUGCACUUGGAAAAAU